rnacentral:rRNA from 1 species
UACAGAGGUCUCAACCGUUGUUCGGAUUCAUUGGGCGUAAAGGGUGCGUAGGCGGCGGGGUAAGUCAGGUGUGAAAUCUCGGGGCUCAACCCCGAAACUGCUGUGCUGGAGUGUGGGAGAGGCGCGUGGAAUUGCAGGUGUAGCGGUGAAAUGCGUAGAUAUCUGCAGGAACACCCGUGGCGAAAGCGGCGCGCUGGACCACUACUGACGCUGAGGAACGAAAGCUAGGGGAGCAAACAGG